CCGGCACCAUGACUCGGGCUGGAGCUCUCCUGCUGCUCUGAGCUGCCUUGCUUCUCAUCGCGGGCGGAAAGUGUGAUGACAUCUGUCAGGCCUUGAGGGAUAGCAUCAACCUGUCCAUAUUGGGAAGCCAUGACACUUAUAUCGAACAAGUUGAAAAGUAUAACAAAACCUCUGAUGUACUGGAGACUGCCGAUACCCUGAAGAGCUGUGCUGAUAAGAGUUUGACAGCCAAGGAUAAGCAGGAUGCUCUCAGUGCUCUGGUGGGUCAGGCUAUCUGUGAAUGUGGCUGUGGGGUCUGUGUGGGGGUGAGGGUGUCAGGGGCCUGCUCAGGGCACUGGGAAGUGGGGGGAUCAUAUCCUCUCCACCCUGGCCCUUCCCCAGGAACCUGGGUGCAAAAAGAUCCUCAUGAACGAGGAGGUAGAGAGGAUGUGGCCAACACCCACAGUGUGAGAAAGGAUCCUGCAGGAAAACUUAGUCCAGCCCUGGGGCUCUUGAGCUGGCCCUGACUGCUCAGCUCUGCCUAGUCACAGUCCUGGGACCCUCCAGGCCCUCCUGACUCUGUGGUGCCACCUGCUUGGGAGUUAGGCCUUCAGCACUGGUCUCCCUGACUCCAGCCUCUCCAACACAUGAACCUGAAUCUGCUGCAAUCCAUUAGCAUUGAGUCCUUCCCUCCUCCAAACAUCAGUUGUUUCCCUUACUGCCUGAAACCCUUCUCUAUCCCACCUAAACCCCGCAUUUCUCCUUGUUCCCUGGACCCCAAUGGGACAUUUAUGCCCCACAUGCCCUAAGAGGAAGCUGCUUCCAAAAGUUGCCCUCCUGUCCUCCCCAGGCCUGGGAUGCCCAGAGUUGAGGGUCAGGGUCAAUCCUCUAGAAAUAGACAGCAGCCCCAGCUCACCACAAAGAGAGAAAUCCCAUGGUCUGUAAUAAAGACCCAGUACAGUUAAAAAAAAAAAAAAGAGUAUCAACAACCAUCAAAAUUAGGAUCUUUAAAAAAUCAAAACAGUUGAGAAACCUGUAUCACUUUUCAAGAAAAGAAAUAAGACACAAAUUACCAUAAUAAAGUAAAGAGAGAUGUCUUUAUUGGUUCCACAUACAUAUAAGGAGAAAAUAUUAUGAACAAAUUAUGCCAAUUAAUUUGAUGGCUUAGAUGAAAUGGACAACUUUAUUAAAGAUAAAAAUUAUAAAAA